GCCGCUUCCUGCGCGGGCCGCCGGAGCUGUUCCCCUGCCGGCAUGGCGGGAGGGUUCCUGCUGGAGAUCAGGCGGGGGACGCAGAGCGCCUUGCUGGUUAUCCGCGAGGCGGACCCGCCGAGCUCGCCGCUGGACGUGUGGGUGGCCGCGGACCGUGUGGAAGCGAGAGGCGGCGGCAGCUGCCAGGCGGCGGCGCUGCCGGCAGGGGUCAGCCUGGCCCCGUCCUCCUGCCGCGGCCUGCGCCGCCUCCCCGGCGACGGCCUGCACCUGCGCAUGCGCCUGCGCCGCCCGCCGCCGAGCGCCGACUUGGUUUUUACUUUGAGGGAAAGCCUGAAACCCCAGAAGAAUUACAUGUUUUACUGUCAAUCCUGUGGUGACAUCAUAGUAAAAGACCAGAAAUUUCUCAGAGUUCUUCCUCUACCAAGUGAAAACUGGAGUGCUUUAGUUGAAGAGUGGUGUUGUCACCCUAACCCCUUUGCCAGAAGCACUUUGCACCCUCAGCAUGGUGACUGUUUUCUUGGAGACACUUUUUUUCUGUUGAAUUCAGGAAACGAAUCACAUGUACCUGAAUCUCCCAUGUGCUGCUCAGAGACUGGACACCAUACUUCUCAGAGUGGCUCCAACUUGAAAUCAAAGGAAAACACCAGAGUAAUUUGUAAGCGCUGCAAGACAAUGCUGGGAGAAACAGUAUCAUCAGAUACCAUUAAAUAUUAUGUCACCGAAGUGAUUAUUCAACCAUCUGAAGGAAGUUUCAGCCCAACACCAAGGUCUCAGUUUCUACAGAGCAUGGUUGCUCAGUGUCUUGUGGAAUUGUCCUCUGCUAAAACCACGUUUAGAUUCACUGUAAAAGGGGAUAAUGGAAAAAUCUAUAUUCUGAUAUGGCUUUUAAAUUCUGACACAUUGCUGGUGGAGUCUUUAGGAAGUUCCUCCUCCCACAGUGUUUUUACACUGUUUGGAGAUAUUUUCAUGCCUAGCUCUGGACCAGUGGGGACCUGGAAUGCUGUCAAAGUCCUUUACCAGCCGUGCAUUAAAAGCAGGAAUAAGGAAUAUUUAUGGAUGAUGUAUAUGUGAUUAUGUCAGUUCCCUCCACUUUUCUCUCAGCAAGACUCCUUUCCUCCACCUACAAAUCUGCUGCACAGAUAGAAGAGGUCUUCCUUGCAAGUAACAGGUUCUUGGCAAACAACACCUUAUGCAAACAACCUUGACUGCUGGGAGUGAUAAUGGUAAAUAUUGCUGAAGUGAGAGUUGUAAAAAUGUGUGAAGAAAAUUGAAAAUACGGUUACAUGGCAGUUCAACCAUAACUUGAUCUCAGAAAAUGUAUGUGAAGGUAGAGUUAGAGGAAAAUUACACUUUUCCCUUUAUAGUAGUGUGCUAGGCAAAGCUUUGUCAAAAAGUCAUUGAUAGCUUUUUAUUUCUCAUAUGCAGCUAGUCUCUCUGAAUGGUUUACAGCUUUUGCAGAAGCCUUCUCCUAUGUAAGAAUUUGCUGCUUAUCAUUUGAGAGUUGAAAAAUGACUUCCAGAAGUUGUUCAUUUUAUUAGCUUUAGAGGGACAGAAUAAGCUAGAAAAUUGAGUUUGUGGCUGAAAACCUGGCAUUUUUGAGUCCCAAUGCUUUUAUUACAGUCCAUGUAUAGUGAGCUGUUUAUGAAGCUGUUACAGAUGUAUUCCAGAAUGUUGUUUAUUUGUCCCAAGAAUGGCUUUCAUUCUGUAUAUGACUAGAGUAAUUCACCUCUCAUAAAAGCACCAAACUGUGUCCUAUUUCACUGAUUUUUGUAUGUCUGAAAUAGAAUGCCUUUUCCUAGUGUUUCAGUAACUCUUGUCUGUAGAAAACACAUGGGAGCACACAGGCCAAGAGUUGACUGACCAAGGACUGACCGGUGUUUCACUGUUCUGUGCUCUUCAAGGUGAUUUCUGUAGUAUAAUAAACUUCUUGUGCUAUAUCUGGAAUGAUUAAAUCAGUGGGUGUGAUUGUAAAUAGCAUGAAGGAUCUGUUUAGUUUCAGAUAGGGUUUGGGUUUUUUUUUUCUGUUCCCUUCUUGAAUUCUUUCAUAGUAUCAGGUUAAGAGAACUGAUGCCACAGGUGGGGUAGAUUGCCUUAAAAGAGCUGACUGAGCAGAUAAAAUGGAUAAAUAUACUAUUAAGAUUUCCUAUCACAUUUAAUGUGCUUUUGAAUCAGGAUUUGUGAUUCUGUAAUAUGGUAGAACAAAAAAUACAAUUCAGGCUAUAUAAUAUUCCAUAUUAUUCUUCACAUUUAUUUAUGAAACACUGUAAAUCAGGUAAGCACAAUUUUGGUAGUUCUCAUGUCUCUCUGGUUCAUAUUGCUGUAGCUCAGCUCUUUUGGGAAUCUCAGGAUUGGCAAUGAGAAAAAUGUCAAGUUGGAUGGGAAAAAAAUGUGAAUUAAAAGCAGCAAGACUAUCUGAAACUAAUUUAAAAUGUAUAGUCUGAAACAACUGCAUUUCCAGGUAGUUAAUUCCACUUUUAUAGGAUGAUAAGAAUGUAAGAAAUGCCAUGCUGUGCCAAAACAGCGUACCAUCUAGCCCUCCCUCCAGUAUCCGGAGGUGUUCCUUAGAGUAGCAUGCAAGCCUCAGCACUUCCUUGUACUGCUCAGCUCCGUAGUUGUAUUAAGGAUGUUAGAGGGUACAGACCUGCCUAUUUCCUAUACUGUUCAUGCAUCUUUUGAACAUCUAUUUGAAUAAACACUUUUUGACCUUACUGGUGCUGUCUGCCUCCACCAAUCUCUUGUUCCAGAAAUUCACUACUGCUGUGUAGUACUCUUAACCUCUUCUAAACUGAUCUGCUAGUUUCAGUGCGUUGCCUCUAGAUCUAGGAUUGGGAGUUUAGCGAACAACAGUUCUGCAUCCGUACUGGCAAAAUGGACAUGGGGAUCCUAAACUUUACACUGAGGUUACAGCAUGCGGUGUUCUUGCUGAUUACAUUUAGGAGUUAGAUUACUGGCCAGUUUGCUGGAGGGAGAGCAAUGUCACAUGUAUUCAAGUCUUACUAUAAGACUAUAGGACAUCUCUAUGAUAUUCAUUUUGCUUUCCUUGUAACACUGCUUUUUUAAAAGCCAGAUAGCCUAAAUGCAAUAGUGAUGACCUGUUGAGGGUAAUUUUAUAAUCAUAUGUCAGACUAUAGCAGCUUUCCACUUAGAGGCUUACAGUCUGUUUCCCAUAGACAUAGGAAGACUGUUGGGUUCACUUGGGAACUGUAAGUACUGAACUCCUACAAUGCCUUUUAAAUGACAGGAUCCAUUUGAGCAGGCAGGAAUCCUAUAAUGAGCCAAGAGUGAAAAAAUAAAACUUAUAAAAGCCUGUUGGACAGAUUGCUGACAAGAACUGCUUAAACUGCAACACUUGAUUUACUGAAUUCUGGGAUCUUGGGCUGUUUUAAAUUAAUUAGCAUUUGUUGUUUCUAUUGUAUUUCUCUAUGACAGGCUGUGUAAACAAUACUUAGAUUAACAAAAUUAUUUAGGCUGCUAAUUUUACUUGCAAUACUCUUUAAAUCAGUAAGGCUAAAGCAAAUUGGGAGUGUAUGACUUGAGACCAAGGAAGGCUAAUUUGUGAAGUUGUGCAGGAUAUUUCCAUUUGUGUGUGGCAACAAUAGGAUAUUGCUGUUGGUUGCUUAUUUUGAAUGCUGUAGCAUCAAAACAGAACAAGAAAUUCUUAUGCUGGCUCCUCUGAAUACUGGCCUUAAACUAUAAAUGAAAUAAUUUGUAUAACUAAUAGGCAUAAUAAGUGAUACCUAUGUGGAUAUGAAUGUUUGAGGAAGAAGAGGAGAAGAUCUGACUGGAAAGGUGGAAGGUGUUGUUCCAGGGAAUAAAAUUGCUACAGAGUUUUAGAAUUUCAGUCAAAUCAUUGCCAAAGGCAGGACUAUUAGAUCUACUCAGAAGUGAGCUGUUGGAUUGAUCAUGCCCAUUUUCAUUCUGUGUAUGUUUUAAAAAGUAUUAAAUUUGGUUUAUGUACUUCCCAGAGUGUACACAUUACCAUAAUUCCUGUUAAGCCUUCAAAUUUUUCCUCACUUGACAGUGACACUGACUGGAUUCUGAUGUUACGGAGCUCUCCAUAGUCCCGGAGGCAGGAAUACAAAAAUCACUGGAGUGCUCCUGUGGGCUGUGAUUUUGCUGUCUUUCCUGGAGAAAGCAAAAUUGUACAGUGUCUUGUUGGAAGAUGGUUCUUCAGCGAAAUGACUGCAGGCAUGUGUGUCAACUGGAUGGCUGUGUCUCCAAUGCUGCAGCUGGGGCUUUUCAGCUGGUGCUGAUGGGCAGCUGCAUAAUAUUAGUAGCAGAACUGGUUAGAAAUUGCGUUUUAAACUAAGCACAAUUUUUCUUUUCCCUAUAGACAUUGAUUUUUCUGAAUCGUCUAAAACUGUUUUAUUUUAGUAUGGAAAUGUUGUUGAGGUAGUUGCACUUUCAUAUGUACUUAUUUUUCCUUAUUGACUGGCUUCCCAACUGUCCUGUGUCUCUUAUGGAGCAAUGCGGUUGAGCAAUAUAAUGUGUUUCCUCAUUUUUGUCCACAGUUGAUAUCUUGUGAUGGAAACAAUUGUAUGGCCUACAGAGAACACUGCUAAAGCGUUUCUAAGUAUUUUUUACACUAAAUUUUUUUCCAGAUUUUAAACUUCCUCCAGAAGUUGGGGCAUAUUUUUUAAUGCUGGGGGGGAUGGAAAUCCAGCAUAGUUUUGACCAGCUGGAAUUAAUGCUGGUAAUGCGAAGAAUCAUCAUCUGAAAAAGGGACUUAAAGGGGCUCUAAGAAGAGCCAUCAGAUAUUUAAUGAUAUAGUGCAUUUUGAAUCUAAUAUCGCUACCAAAUGUGAGCUUUACUGGUUGUAGUCACACCUUAAAAAUUUGCCCGUCAAUAUUCUUUACUUCCUGUUUUCAACUGUUUGCGUAUUAUUGCUGCAAACUGCUGUUCAGCUGUUGUGUUUCAAACAGAAAUGGCUGCAUGUCAUUAAUAUUAUUAAGGCCUCUAAUUUUUCAAGCAUGUCAUGAUGAUUAAGAAAUACAAACUCUUGUCUGAGUUGAGAGAUUUUAUUGAAAACUGUAUUUUUUUUUCCUGAAACUGAUGAAACUCUCACUGGCUACCACAAGAAGAAAUCAGUUACUGAGAAGCUGGUUUUUGCCCCCCAACAUAGCAAUUCUGCAGAUGCUUUUAGCACCUCUGCAGCUCUCCUUUACAUGUAGGACCACUGAAUUUAACACAGUUGUCCAGGUGAGUUUCUUGCAUUGCCAACUAUGUCUGAUGCAAGUCUAACUCAGCAAAUUGCUUCAAGAACAUAGUGUAGAUACUGUACCAGAUAACUGUAAUGUUCAUUGAUUGCCUUCAGCAGAAAUUGGAGAGAACAUACAGAUGUAGUUGAUUAUGAAAAAGUUUAGACUGGAGGUUGGAAGCUUUCUAAUAUCAGAGCAGUGAGGUUCCUGCAGAGCCUUCUAGUAGGAAUAUUAUUGUCAAGAAACAGAGUUGCUUUUGAGAUGAAGCAUGAUAAAAUUGCAAAAAGAAAUGCUUUGACACACUGCCUCUUCCUGCAGGGAGAUGAGCUUUUUGGCUGGGAGAGAUGCCUUCUAGUUCAGUUUCCCACUCUGUCAAUGACCUGCCAAAAGACUUUCAAGUUCACCUUCACCAUCUCUUUUGCUCUCUGGAAGCUCUUCAGAGUGACAAGUUUGCAUGUCCGUGGAGAGCCACACUGGUAGCACGGUCUUGAUUGGGCUGCUAUGCAACAAUUUAGUAAUUACUAAGUGUGGCAUUAUUUCUUUACCUAUGGUGUGUUCUCCUACAUCUGAAGUCCAUUCUAAUUAACUUUAUUUGCAAAGGAUUUAUAGUACUUUAUCUGCAGCUGUCUUACUUUCAGCUAUUGCAUCUCCUCUUUGAAUGAGGUCAUUACUCACAGGCUUCUCUUCUCACUGAGCUGGUGUCUGUGACUCAGUCUUUCCAUGCCUACUUUAAUUCCUUUCACCAAAGCUGCGUUUUAGUCUGUCUGUAACAUCAACUCCUGCAUCAGCAUUGACUUAACUUGGCUAAACCUAGGUUUAAUCUUCCAUCUAAAUCCCCUCUCCCUCCCUUUUUUCUUCUUCUGCUCUUGCUCAUGUCCAAACUCAGCUGCCAGGCUGUAUACCUCCCCAUCCUGUUCUUCCUGCUUCUAAGCUGAGGCUAGGUUUCCCUGUUUCUUGAUCCCUAAAAUUUUAAGCAAGCUCAUAAAACUAAAUUAAAGAGCCAAAAUGAUCUGCAUUCACUGAUCUGACUGUGUCAAGGUGUGUGUAUGUGUGCAAUGCAGCCCCCCAGUACUAUCUCAGAAGGGUAGCUGAUGGCCAGUGUGAUUCCUCCAGGUCUGCUUCGUGUCUGCAGCAGGACAGGAGGACUCUGGACAGCUGUAUAAGUGCUGCGGAGGGCUCCGUCAACAUAAGCAUGGAUUAUACAGACACUGUUAAAUCUCUGCCAUAACAGAAGGGAAAAGCUUCAGAAUAGUUGAAAGGGAAAACGUGGGAAUUAGCUCUGAGGAGAGGAGGUGUUAAAACUAAGGACAGUUUUCUGAAGGAUGGAGGAGUUAUUUAUGGAAGAGUAUUUCCAAGCACAGAGGAAACCUGCCAGACAUGUGAGGACACAUACUGGCUGAGGACAGGGAAAAGGGGCUAGUGGAAAGUUGAUCUUUCCAGAUUGGCAAUUAGUCUGCUGUGAGCUUUCGAAGGGGACUCUGGGAUGUAGUAAAAUCAGGUAGUUUGGGCAUUUGUGACCUAUGUAAAAAAUGUUAUGCCAGUUCAUGUUUUUGAAUUAACCUUAAGGUUAUUUUUAGGAAUGGAAGCUGUGUUCUUGACUGCUGGUUUUAUUUAUUUAGGAUUUAAUGGCUUGUUAAAUUUGACUUGUAGCCACACCCGAUAUUUUAAUGUCAGUAUUGUGUCAUACCUGCAUAGAGUAAGCAUCUGUACAAAUUUUGCCACAAUCGUAUUGGUGAAGAAGGAAGAUGAUGAUAAAAAUAAACUGUUCCAGGAAAAUUACGGUUUCAGUGGGAAAGGGAAAAUACGGCAUAUGUGAAGUUCUAACUUUAGUAAUUAGGCUUUUGUUUGGCAAUGGUUUGGAGUGAAUGAGUGGAAAUAAUAGAUUUUGCUGUCAGGGAAUUCGCAGGAUCAACCAAUUCUGUGAUUUGUGGUGUUCCUUACUUUGCUGCAGGUUCAUGUAAUUACAUCAUGAAAUACUGAAUUUCCUUCUCUUCUGAAGUCAGUACAUCAGAAAAAAACCCCAAAACUUUAAAGCAGCAAGCUGAGAGCUUUUUGUGAACAGUAAUUACAGCUUUUAUUUGUACAGCAGGAUAACUUCUCCCUUCGGAUUCAGGCAUAAUGUUCUGGAGUGCCUGGUAUUUGUGAAUACUUCUAUAUGGAAUAUGAACAGCACUGUGGAAGUGAUUUAGUUUUACCCAAAGGUUUAAAAAUUAGAGGCCAGAAAACAUUUUCAUCUUUAUAUUGUUCUGAAAAUCCAUUUCAACUUCUGAAAUGGCCUCCUGCUUGGUAUAAUAGGUCUUAAAAAGGGAAUUAAGGUUUAUGGAGAAUAUGCAAAUCUUCAUGUGGCACAGCUGGUAGGAAUAACCUGCAUGGGAACAUCCAGGGAAGUGCUUUAUGCUGUGGCCAGGGAACCUACAGCUUUAGGUACAGGGCAAGAGCAGCUCUGUGCCAUCACUGAUCAUACAGACCAUCGGUUCAUUCAACUUCGAUUUAAUUUGAUCUUUUUUUUAAAAUUUUUCUUUGCCGCUUGCCUGGUUGAUUAUGCUGAGGAAAUAAGUGUUACUAUUUGUUGCUAGUCUAGGUCCCCGAAUGCACACUUAUUUCAGUGCUGUUAGGACAGGGUGUGAAAGACACCAUCCCUCUGGUACUAAGUGCCGGUGUUAAGGCUGCUGGUUGAUCUGACAGCGCUGGUGAGGAGCAGUGGGACGUAGGCAGUCGGAGAGACCUGCUGGGAAGAUACUGGCGUCUAACAUGAGUACAGUUCACAUCAUUUGCCUAGAAGUUUAAACAGGCAGCUCUGCCUUAAUAAGCGAUAGAUCAGCCAUGAGCUCUGUGGUUAUGGGCCAUUUUUUCUACAUAGUGCCUGAUGCCAUGGUUUGUGGUUAGAGCCUUUACUGGGGACUGUGGUGUGACCACUACUAACAAGGCCAGGGGAUACCACACUGGUUACUGGGUUUGCCUGCCGAUGGGGCACACCACCUCUCUGCUGCUCUCCCUGCACUGCCUAGCUGAGGAACUUAGAUUGUCUCACUUAAGCCAACCCUGCUUUUCAGUUACGGUCUUAGCUGAGGUGACCGUACCAACUGUUCACCCUGCUUUGGCAGCACAGACGUCUGAGCCACUUGACAGUCAAGUCCUUAACUGCUGGCGUUUAGAGCAUAUGGUUGAAGGUAAAUUGUUGCCAAUUUUGGAUUGCUUAAAGACACUGCACUGUGAACUGUGACAGUUUAGGAAAUGAGUGAUGAGCAGUUUGGAUGUCCAGGCAGGGUCAACAGCUGGGACUAGUGUCUUCAUCAGCUAACUCAUCCCUGCUCAUCAAUCAGGUCACUGAGUACCUAAAACUGAGUGAUGCGAAUACCUCCCGGUGUGCUCACAGUGCACAGAACCAACAGGUCACAACAGCUUUACAGUGUUUAAGCGCUUGUUCUGCAUGUCUUCUAUUUUCAGCCGUAAAUACUAAUUUUUUAAAAAAAUUAAUCAUUACUUAAUAAACCUAUGCUGAUUUAUCAUAAUUGCAUCUAUAAAUCCAUUUCUAAUGGCUAGACGCAUGAAUUUCAGCAGUCCCUUCCCUAAGGCCAUAUUAGUCAGCAUGAGCUCAGACUGAUAGGUAGACAACUUUUUUUUCCAGACUCAUAAGGAAGUGUAAAAAAUUUAUGAUGUUGCUUUAACAAGGCCCACUGGGAUUUGAGAUUAUUUAUCUAAGCCCUUAUUAAAGACAAAAACUUUUCUAUGUUUAGCCUGCAGAGCAGAGCUGCUCUUCAGACAGUCCAGUGUACUUUAAAAAUGAAGAGAAUUUGAUAAACAUAGCACUGAAAUCAUGGAGAGAAGUAUGAAGGAUCUUUCCUCUGUAUCCCUUUACCGCAAAGCCAAAGUUACUAUUAACCACUAAUAUAAAAAGAAAAAUGGAGCGACAGCACCUCUUGAAUUUUAAGGCCAUUUCACUAUACUAGGAACCAACAGUGGAAAACUUUUAUCAUUGUUAGAAGGAAACUACUUGCGACAAUGCAGAAAAAAACAGAAGAUGAAAAAGAUCUGUCUCAUUCCCUAGCAGGAGGAUUAAUUCUCCUGUACAAUUAAUCUGAUUUCUCAACCUCAUUCUUCAGCACCCAAAUCUCUAUUCUUUCUCUGUGAGGUAAUUUUUACUCAUGUAUACCUCUGUUGGGACCUCAGUUUAGCAUCCCCUUACUGCCUUCUCCUAGGAAGCUCUAGAAGGAGAAUUAAAUGGAAUGUAUUUCAUAAGAUACUUUAUGUUCAACUCCCUCUUGUUUUCUUUCAGUAAUUAGGAAAUGAAAGUGUUUCUAAGGGCUUGGAAAUGAAAAAUGUGAUGUAAAAUUAGACCAUUUAAUUAAAUUAUAAAAAUUGAACCUAAUAUUUUUAGAAAAAAUAUUUUACAAGAGGCCAUAGUGUGGUUGGUAGAAAGUUUUGUCACAUACUUUCAAAGCAACAGAGUUGCUUUAGACAUUUUCACUCCUUUUGUAAAUGUGAGCAAUCUGUGUAUCCAGAAACUUAAACGCAUUCUUCGUGUCUCAAGAAAUUAUCCAUUCCUCCUUUUGUGAGAAUUAUACAUUGAUAAAUACCUACACUAUUUCAUUCAGUCUUCCUUUGGGUAAGUUUCUGCCAUUUUCAUUUUCAGUGUUUGCUGUUUUGAAGUAAGCUUUGCUUCUGACUUCCUUUUACCAAAUCUGUAAGAGUGCUCCUCUGCCAGCAUUUCAGAGUUAAUGCAUGAUUUCCAUUCUGUAGAUUAUUCGGAGGCACAAUUUAAGCAUCAGACACAAUGAUGUUGCAACCUCAUGAAACCGAGUUCACCACUUCUGCAGGCACGUCCAGAUCCUAUUGUUUAGGGUAUUCUGUCCUCAGACUUAAAUUCCCACACCACAAGAAAAAUCUGUAACACUGCCUAUUUGCUGUAAUGCCUUAAUGGUAUAAGUUACUCUAGUAAAGGUGCGUUUUAUUUUGCCAGUGCCAGAAACCUCAUUUGGAACUGUGACUGGGAAAAUACACUUCCUCUUCUUUGCAAAGCUCCCCAUUCAUCACAGCUUUCUGAUAACUAGCUCUGAAAAGCUGUUCAGUGAGGUUCUUCUGAAAGAAUUUGCAUUGACUGGCAGUCCAUACAGGGCAGUCUACAGCCUCGCUGAUGCAUGGGAAAAUGAUAUUGGAGUUCAUCCUUUAAAGUUUCCAGCAGAAACAUGUUUGGAAUUACUG